UACGUAGGGUGCGAGCGUUGUCCGGAAUUAUUGGGCGUAAAGAGCUCGUAGGCGGUUUGUCGCGUCGGGAGUGAAAACUCAGGGCUUAACCCUGAGCCUGCUUCCGAUACGGGCAGACUAGAGGUAUGCAGGGGGAGAAUGGAAUUCCUGGUGUAGCGGUGAAAAUGCGCAGAUAUCAGGAGGAACACCGGUGGCGAAGGCGGGUCUCUGGGCAGUAACUGACGCUGAGGAGCGAAAAGCGUGGGGGAGCGAACAGG
rnacentral:rRNA from 1 species